CACAAGCGGUGGAUUAUGUUGUUUAAUUCGACGCAACGCGAAGAACCUUACCAGGCCUUGACAUACUCGGCAAAGCUCUAGAGAUAGAGUGGAGGUUUAUCCGGGAUACAGGUGGUGCAUGGUUGUCGUCAGCUCGUGUCGUGAGAUGUUGGGUUAAGUCCCGCAACGAGCGCAACCCUUGUCUUUAGUUACCAUCAUUCAGUUGGGGACUCUAGAGAGACUGCCGGUGAUAAACCGGAGGAAGGUGGGGAUGACGUCAAAUCAUCAUGCCCCUUAUGGCCUGGGCUACAAACGUAAUACAAUGGCGUAUACAAAGGGAUGCGAAAGGGCGACCUGGAGCAAAACUCACAAAGUACGUCUCAGUUCAGAUUGGAGUCUGCAACUCGACUCCAUGAAGGCGGAAUCGCUAGUAAUCGCGGAUCAGCAUGCCGCGGUGAAUACGUUCUCGGGGUUU
rnacentral:rRNA from 1 species